CUAAUUUGACAGCUCCCAGCGGAGAAGGGAUAUUCUGCAGACGUCUGCGGUGAAGCAGGCAUUCUGCCGGACAGCCCAUAUGAGACAUCCAUCAUUGCAAGGCCAUAGGAGUGGGAAGAGCCGCUUCACAGGCAGUGCUGCAUGGAGUACCAGGCAACUACCAACUGGGCUACACAGCUUUAUUUGAAGGAUUUCCUGAUACUUCAAUGAAUCCAUCUUGCCUUCCACACGCUGCAGGUUUCCAGUGCCAGAGGAUGCAAAGCAGCCCCAGAGCAUCACCGAGCCACCACCGUGCUUGAGUGUGGACAGUGUUCUUUCUUCAUUCUUCUUCCUCCAGGCAUACUGCUGAUCCAUCGUGCCGAAAAGUUCCAAUUUUGUUUCAUCACAAAACACAUCACAGAACAGAAUCACAAAACUUCUGUGGCUUACUGAUAUGAUUUUGGGACUAAUUUGCUUGUGCUUUUGGGUCAGUAGUGGUGUACGUCUUGGAGUUCUG
ensembl:lncRNA